rnacentral:lncRNA from 10 species
CAGGAAUGAAGAGGAAAUCAUCUAGUUCUUAGAUGAAGGAAAACUAUGACAAUUUGUUUCCAGCCGAUCUAUACCCAGAAAGGAUAGCUAAAGAAAGUUUUCUAAACAGGAAUGCAAUGGUAGAAGAAGAAACCAUGGAACAUCAGGAAGAAAGAAAGAACAUGGUUUCAUUUCAGUGUCCAUAUCAUAGAAGGGAGCACAUUAUAAAAGAAGUCAAAAGCGGUCGUGAAUAAUUGAAACCCUCCUGCCAGAUCGGCUAAUGUCAAUUUGUUUUCUGGCACUGCCUCUUCUAUGUCUUCUUCCACAUCAUCUGGUACUGAUUCAAAAGCGCUCAUCUCCAUUAAGUUGUCUUCUCUUAAUUCCUCUGCUGUGGUGUUUAUUAGAUCUUGAAUAUCUCUGAGAUUCAUGUCUUGAAUCACUUCAUGCCCCACCUUUUUGAUAUAUUCACAAUCUCUUUGAUGAUUUCCUUGGUCUACUCUGUUGUAAAUCCUAUGAAGCCACGCACAGCAUCUGGACACAGUUACCUCCGGCAGGAAUCUAUUGUUUUCCACCUGAUGGCUUCCGUUGCCUUUUCUGUAACAAUGAUGGCAUCUUUACUGGUGUAAUAUUUUCAAACAUUCAUGACGUUCUCUUCCAUAGAGUUGACAAUCCUUUCCAUAGACUACCAAGUGCGAAUGAGCCUGAUGACUCCCUGAUCUAGAGGCUGAAUUAGAGACAUCGUGUUUGGUGGCAAGGAGGCCAUUUUAGUGCCUUCAUUGCUGAACUCGUGGGGUUCUGGGUGGCAGGGGGCAUUGUAGAAUAUCAAAAGACUUUAAAGACAGUCCCUCAAUGGCAAUGUGUUUCUUGACUUCAGAGAAAAAUCAUCACUGGAACCACUUGAGAAAAAGUGUUCUUGUUGUCCAGGCCUUCUUGUUGUACAAACAAGAGACUGGCAACUAGUGUUUAUAUUUUUCCUUCAAGGUUUGGGAGUUAGUAGCUUUAUAGAUAAGGGCAGUCUUGAUCAUAAACCUGACUACAUUUGCACAAAAUGGUGGAGUUAGUUUAUCCCUUCCCUGCUUUAAAUCCUAGUGCUUACUAAUAAAUGUCCUUUGUGGCCUGCCCUGCAACCUCCCUCCACUAAAUGGUGCACUUUUGUCUGCAUUAAAAACUUGUUCAGGCAGAUAUUUUUUCUCUUUGAUGAUUUUCUUUUUCUUUCCUUUUUUGGAGCUGGGGUUUUGCUCUUGUUGCCCAGGCUGGAGUGCAAUGGAGCAAUCUUGGCUCACUACAACCUCCGCCUCCUGGGUUCCAG